rnacentral:rRNA from 1 species
AGUGAACGCUGGCGGCGUGCCUAAUACAUGCAAGUCGAACGAAGUGGCGCACGGGUGAGUAAUAUAUAGUUAAUCUGCCCUACACAGAGGAACAACAGUUGGAAACGACUGCUAAUACCUCAUAGUGUAGUAUGAGACUAUCUCGUAUCAGCUAGUUUGUAAGGUAAUGGAUUACCACGGCUAUGACGCGUAACUGGUAUGAGAGGAUUAUCAGUCAAAUUGGAACUGGGACAAGGUACAACCUCCUACGUGAGGCAGCAGUAAGGAAUAUGGCGCAAUUGGGGAAACCCUGAAGCAGCAACGCCGCGUGGAGGAUGAAACGUUUCGGAUCGUAAAGCUCUGUUGUUAGAGAAGUAGGAGUGGAAAAUCUACCAAGUGACGGUAACUAACCAGAAAGGGACGGCUAACUACGUGCCAGCAGACGCGGGAAUAC